rnacentral:lncRNA from 1 species
UGAGGACUGUCCGUCUGUAUAUCUAUCUACUUAUACCACCCCACCCCCAGAUAGAAUGUCGCUAUAUUCUAAUCCCAGUACAGUAUUUUUUUUUUAUCCUCCACUUGCUGCUGAGUUCUUCUUGUGCCGUGAAUUAGCCAUGGCAGCCUCCAAAUGUGUUGUAGAGGGAGAGGAGCGGCGAAGCAUGUUUGCUCCGAAACUGCCUGCCUGUGUACAUUAGUUACUGUGGCUGCUGUGGUUAGAGCCCAAUUUUCAAGCUGUACUAUAAUACUUACUCUAUUGGACGAAAUAAACAGGAUGCAUUCGUUUUGCGUUAGCUCCUGCAUUUGAAAUGUUGAGCAUUAAUAACAUUUUCCGAACUCUGAAGGUGCUCGGUCUUUUUUUUUUUUUUUGAAAAGGGGGUUUACCCCGGCCUCUGCAUCAGAUCGAUGCAUACGGCCUCUCUUAUUAAUGAAAUAAAGAGGUUCAGAACAUAAGUCUUACAACCAAAUGAAAAAAGGUAGCACGUAGCUCACACAGAGCAACGACUAAAAGACACAAACGGGAAAAGCCACAAUAUGAGGUAGGUAAACUAGAUGCCUAUCCUAUUACAUGAUCGCCAUCCAAACCGGUUGAAGAUAUCCCGCGCAACCGUCUCCCACCGGACAGAUCCAGUAACCAAACGCUCCCUGGCCUCCGUCGGAGUGAGUAAGGACCAAGUACGGAUCAGCGCCGUAGCCCGGAACAACACCUGCAAAAAA